UUCAGGAUGAACGCUGGCGGCGUGCCUAAUACAUGCAAGUCGAACGAGUUCUGAUUAUUGAAAGGUGCUUGCAUCUUGAUUUUAAUUUUGAACGAGUGGCGGACGGGUGAGUAACACGUGGGUAACCUGCCCUUAAGUGGGGGAUAACAUUUGGAAACAGAUGCUAAUACCGCAUAAAUCCAAGAACCGCAUGGUUCUUGGCUGAAAGAUGGCGUAAGCUAUCGCUUUUGGAUGGACCCGCGGCGUAUUAGCUAGUUGGUGAGGUAACGGCUCACCAAGGCAAUGAUACGUAGCCGAACUGAGAGGUUGAUCGGCCACAUUGGGACUGAGACACGGCCCAAACUCCUACGGGAGGCAGCAGUAGGGAAUCUUCCACAAUGGACGCAAGUCUGAUGGAGCAACGCCGCGUGAGUGAAGAAGGCUUUCGGGUCGUAAAACUCUGUUGUUGGAGAAGAAUGGUCGGCAGAGUAACUGUUGUCGGCGUGACGGUAUCCAACCAGAAAGCCACGGCUAACUACGUGCCAGCAGCCGCGGUAAUACGUAGGUGGCAAGCGUUAUCCGGAUUUAUUGGGCGUAAAGCGAGCGCAGGCGGUUUUUUAAGUCUGAUGUGAAAGCCCUCGGCUUAACCGAGGAAGUGCAUCGGAAACUGGGAAACUUGAGUGCAGAAGAGGACAGUGGAACUCCAUGUGUAGCGGUGAAAUGCGUAGAUAUAUGGAAGAACACCAGUGGCGAAGGCGGCUGUCUGGUCUGUAACUGACGCUGAGGCUCGAAAGCAUGGGUAGCGAACAGGAUUAGAUACCCUGGUAGUCCAUGCCGUAAACGAUGAAUGCUAGGUGUUGGAGGGUUUCCGCCCUUCAGUGCCGCAGCUAACGCAUUAAGCAUUCCGCCUGGGGAGUACGACCGCAAGGUUGAAACUCAAAGGAAUUGACGGGGGCCCGCACAAGCGGUGGAGCAUGUGGUUUAAUUCGAAGCAACGCGAAGAACCUUACCAGGUCUUGACAUCUUUUGAUCACCUGAGAGAUCAGGUUUCCCCUUCGGGGGCAAAAUGACAGGUGGUGCAUGGUUGUCGUCAGCUCGUGUCGUGAGAUGUUGGGUUAAGUCCCGCAACGAGCGCAACCCUUAUGACUAGUUGCCAGCAUUUAGUUGGGCACUCUAGUAAGACUGCCGGUGACAAACCGGAGGAAGGUGGGGAUGACGUCAAAUCAUCAUGCCCCUUAUGACCUGGGCUACACACGUGCUACAAUGGAUGGUACAACGAGUUGCGAGACCGCGAGGUCAAGCUAAUCUCUUAAAGCCAUUCUCAGUUCGGACUGUAGGCUGCAACUCGCCUACACGAAGUCGGAAUCGCUAGUAAUCGCGGAUCAGCACGCCGCGGUGAAUACGUUCCCGGGCCUUGUACACACCGCCCGUCACACCAUGAGAGUUUGUAACACCCGAAGCCGGUGGCGUAACCCUUUUAGGGAGCGAGCCGUCUAAGGUGGGACAAAUGAU
rnacentral:rRNA from 1 species